AACCGCCGAUGGCCCGCGUAAGCGGGAUCAGGUAAGGGUGAAAGGGUGCGGUAAGAGCGCACCGCGCGGCUGGUAACAGUCCGUGGCACGGUAAACUCCACCCGGAGCAAGGCCAAAUAGGGGUUCACAUGGUACGGCCCGUACUGAACCCGGGUAGGCUGCUUGAGCCAGUGAGCGAUUGCUGGCCUAGAUGAAUGACUGUCCACGACAGAACCCGGCUUAUCGGUCAGCUUCAACU
rnacentral:RNase_P_RNA from 1 species